rnacentral:rRNA from 1 species
GACGAACGCUGGCGGCGUGCCUAAUACAUGCAAGUUGAGCGCUGAAGGUUGGUACUUGUACCAACUGGAUGAGCAGCGAACGGGUGAGUAACGCGUGGGGAAUCUGCCUUUGAGCGGGGGACAGCAUUUGGAAACGAAUGCUAAUACCGCAUAAAAACUUUAAACACAAGUUUUAAGUUUGAAAGAUGCAAUUGCAUCACUCAAAGAUGAUCCCGCGUUGUAUUAGCUAGUUGGUGAGGUAAAGGCUCACCAAGGCGAUGAUACAUAGCCGACCUGAGAGGGUGAUCGGCCACAUUGGGACUGAGACACGGCCCAAACUCCUACGGGAGGCAGCAGUAGGGAAUCUUCGGCAAUGGACGAAAGUCUGACCGAGCAACGCCGCGUGAGUGAAGAAGGGUUUCGGAUCGUAAAACUCUGUUGGUAGAGAAGAACGUUGGUGAGAGUGGAAAGCUCAUCAAGUGACGGUAACUACCCAGAAAGGGACGGCUAACUACGUG